rnacentral:lncRNA from 1 species
UUUAUUUUUUUUAUAUGUAUGACUAUAGUGUACUUUGAGAUAUGUAUGAAUAUGUGUAGCCAUUCUAUGAAGCUUUUUAUUCGGUCAUUCUAUAUCUAUAUAAUGAUUAAUUUAUGAUGAUUAAUUUAUGUGUGCAUGCGUACAGUUUGAUAAGUGAUUUUGGUAUUCGGGCCUUGGCCGUAUUUAGUUCCUCCAAAAUUUUUUUGACACCACAGACACACAUUUAAAGUAUUAAACAUAGACUAAUAAAACAAAUUACAGAUUCCACCUAUAAACUGCGAGACGAAUUUAUUAAGCCUAAUUAAUCUAUCAUUAGCAAAUAUUUACUGUAGCACCACAUUGUCAAAUUAUAGCGUAAUUAGGCUCAAAAGAUUCGUCUCGCAAUUUACAUGCAAACAAUGCAAUUGAUUUUUUUUUCAUCCACAUUUAAUGCUUCAUGCAUGUGUCCAAACAUUUGAUGUGACGGAAUUUUUGGAAGUUUGAAGGGAACUAAACACAACCCUUAUUUAGAUCCCAAAAAAUUUUGGCCAAAAACGUCACAUCAAAUGUUUGGACAAAUGCAUGGGGCAUUAAAUGUGGAAAAAAAAUCAAUUGCAUAGUUUGCAUGUAAAUUGCGAGACGAAUCUUUUGAGCCUAAUUAUGCCAUGAUUUGACAAUGUGAUGCUACAGUAAAUAUUUGCUAAUGACGAAUUAAUUAGACUUAAUAAAUUCAUCUCGCAGUUAUAGGCGGAAUCUGUAAUUUGUUUUGUUAUUAGUCUACGUUUAAUAAUUUAAAUGUGUGUCCGUAUACUUCAAAAACUUUGCACCCAAACAACUAAACACACCCUCAGGCAAUAUAACUUGGUUCUUUUUUUCUCUAAUGCAGCACCACCAUAGUCAACUGUAGAGUUAUCCCUUGGUAUGUGAAGUGAUGAUCAGAGCCAAUGUACCUCUCAAACCGACUCACAAAUGGAUAUCAUCAUUGUUGAAAGAAGGGUUUCAUCGGGGUUUUAACCGAUGAGGUAUGUAGAUGUUGCAUCGGCUUACAAAGAUUGCAUAUAAGUUGGAUUUAGCCAUUCGCAACAAAGGUUUCACUGUUUAUCUAAUCUUGUGGAUUUUAUGACAUGGGACCUCCAGCCAAUAUAUGCUUUAACCAUCGGAAUAUUUAUUUUAUCAUAUCAUUGUUAGCCGAUUAGUUUCUACUGGAUUAUAUUAUUGUUAUUUAUCAUCAUCGGCUGAUGGCCUUUAUGUCAUUUAUUUACUCAAGUAUCAGACUUUGCAUUGGACAUAUAGCCGAUUGCUCAAAACCCUAUCAACAUCUGCUGGUAUCGGCAUCAGUUGGAAUUACUCCGUCUGCUUGUCAGCCAAUCGGCUCAUUGAUCUACUAUUUGCAUAUCUUAUCAGUUGCAGGAUCAAACUGACUGACACUUCUGCAUCUCAUCAACCUUUUGACCUGCACUGGAGCUAAGUAGAUCUCCCAUGCCGUUGGGUUUGUUGACUUAAUUUUGCGCCAACACAGUUCUGGCACCAUCGGCCGAGCGCGGUUUUUUCGUCAACAGGGGGUAAAAUGAAAAAAAAAGGAGAUGCUAAGGUGCCUAUUUUUUCCUCUCAGGGUGGGAUGAGGAUUUGUGGAAGGAUUCCUUAGAAAAGAAGUUUCUUGAAGGGUAUUGAAAAUAUUUCGCAAACUGAGGAAAUAACGGCUAGAAGCAUCGGAACGAAGAAUUGAACGGCUAAAGUUCCCUUAAUGACGUGGUGUUGUAUUUUGCAAGGAAAGGUUUCACUUUUCACUUAUUUAGAUAUAACACACAUGCAUGUAUUUUCGUGCAACUAGUGACUUGCAACACAUGAUCCCUGCUAGAUGCCUGUUGGCAGUCAUUAAACCCUAAAAUCACCACCAAUAUUAUAAUAAAAAUAUCACAUAAAGCAUGUUACCUAGGUCGAUUUUGCCUUAUUUCAAUGAGUUACACGAUUUCUGUUGGAUUUCACUACGCGUAUAAUAAUUCACGAUUUUGACCUAUUUUUUUUCCAAUGAAAAUCUGGCAUUUUAAGCCAAAGGGCUGACCAGCCGACCAACAUACCUCAUGGGUCAACCGGCCUAAAGACUUGGCCGACUAGCCAACUCAGGGCUCGGCCAGCUAUUUGGAAACGUGUCCUGAUUGGCCACCCUCCUCACUGAGCCGGCUGGCCUGCGCAGCACGAUGUGAGGCUAAUGAUUGAUUGGUGGACCCCAUUCUGGGAGUGAUGUCUUCUCGGAUGAGUAACAUGUAGACUUACUUUUCCCUCUUAAUAUUUUAUUCAUACAUUAUGCUUAUUGCCAUACUUUUUUUCCUAGUUCUCUUCUAAGUUUAUUUUUUAUGCUUGCUUGAGUGGAUGCCUCAUUUAUAAUUAAGCUGGGAACAUGUAUAGUUCUAUGUGUGGGUGUGGUGCUUAGGAAUAGUUUUAUCUAGGAAGGCUGGUUGGGGAAACAGAGGACGUAGUUGGCCGGGUGCCGACAGCCUCGGUUGUCCUUUGAAGCCAGCCACGUUAACCCUAAUUACGCUGACGCAAAUAGGUAGACCAAUGCUUAAUGUGGAAAGCAGUCCUGUUUCCAAAGCAAGCAAGGAUAAGUGUAGCUAAAUGGAUUUCCUAGAAUGAAAGCAGUCUUGUGAUGUGGGGAAUAACCCGGGGACUUGAAUCCUGACUAAUUCGAUGAUUUCACAACCAUAUCAUCACAUUCACACAACAAAUACAUAUAUAUAGACAAUAAUGUUCACAUUUCUAAGUGUUAACAAAAGACACACAUCACAUUGGACUAACUGGUCAAAUAAAAGAGAGUCAAACAUAGCGCAAUAAGAGAACAAAAAAAUAUAUACAUUCUUUAGUAUGCCAUCUAACUAACUAGGAAUUACUACCCAUGUCGAAACGCGGAUGACCGCACCGAGAAGGCAAAUUCUUCUUUGCCAAUCGAAGAGCACAAACAAGAAUGAGAUAGAAUACAACCAAAAUUACAGAUGAAUGAUUAAGCUCACAAGUUGGGGUCUUACAAACCGAUCUAGCGGCGAAACUAUUCUCGACAGAAUAUUCUAAGCAAAACCCGACUCUAAACGAUGACGGCUACUUAAUUAAUAUGAUUAGGGACGUCCUAGGGUUGCCCUAGGGCGCACACCCUCAUGGGCUAAGCCCACGACACAAUUAUAAGGCCCAAAACCCAAAUCAGAUUUGGAUUGGAUGAGAUACAUAACUUGUUUUGUAGAUUCCCGACAGCUCGGUAGGAAUUUUGACGUAGGACCAAAACCAUCUAAAAGUAGACUCCAUAAGCUUUCCAACAAGUACUCAUAGGCCCCGAAAUUCCUUCUAGAUCAACAUCUAGGUUCGUUUGAAGUUGAUGCUGUCAGGAGGCCCGAAUCCGAAUCCAAAACGUGUAGAACUUGAUCUCUUGUCUUCUAUGGACCAAAAGUGACGUGGUGAGGUAGAAGUAGACUUGGAGAAGGUCUUGGUUUGGUCCCCAAUCAACUUCUUUGAUCAUCCAUGCAUUCGUUACGCUCGGUCUCUUUUCCUUCGCCCAAGCAAGUACCUCUACAAACAAAAACACAUCAUUGUGUAGCAACGUUUGUUCAAAUAUAUAACAAGUAAAUCUAAUGUAGAACAUAUGUACCUUUGUUUGAUUAAUAUAUAAGGUAUCCAUGGUUAUAUCCAAACUAGUAGUGUCCUCAUCACCUAGCUAGAAGUAUCAUGACGCUAAUGGUGGUGGAUAGAAAAUGGCAAAGGAAGGGAGAUAGUGCUGUUUCCAAAGGCAGAGAUGAAGUAAAAUAGGGUUCAAUGUAAAACAAAAGGGAGAGAGAGAGAGAGCUCAAAGUGAAAAGAAUGUGUAAAGGAGGGCAAAAGUGAAACUUUUGUAGUAAAGAGGUCCACAUUGCAAACCAUCUCUAUGUUUUAAGUUUUGAUGCAUGUAAAAAUAAUGUGACUGUGACAUCCCGGCCCAAUUUGGAUUAGGCCUGUGUGGCCCAUGUGAGUUGUGUGCGUAUGUUUAGUACGACCUUAUUAGUUUAGCAUGAGUGGAACUAACUUAUAAGGCCUCUUCCCUCCAACCAUACCCUUUUACACGAAGCGAGGACGAAAGUGUAAGUGGAGUGAUGUGUGUAAGUGGGCCCGCUACGUGGUUCUGGAGGGAGGGCUGUAACAAAUGGUAUCGGAGCCGACCCUUGCGAUUGCGCGUACGGGUCAGUGUGCGGGCAUAUGGCGCUGGCACUGGACGUACGGAUGUGCGCUUCGCGGUUGCGCGUACAGGUCAGUGUGCGGGCAUAUGGCGCAUGGCGCAUGUGGGCUCUGUGUGAGGCACAUGGCAUGGCAUAUGGCGCUAGCACUGGACGUACGGAUGUGCGCUGAGAGGGGGUGUGUUCCUGGACAGUUGCCUAUAUGCCUGUGUGGCUACAUGGGUAAGUUGGGCCGACAGGGAUGUCGGGUCCUUUGAGGGGGGGGGGGGUUGUGACAUCCCAGCCCAAUUUGGAUUAGGCCUGUGUGGCCCCACUCCCGGGUUAACCCUUUUAUACGAAGCGAUGACGGAAGUGUAAGUGGAGUGGUAUGUGUAAGUGGGCCCGCCCGUCGGAUGGGCUGGCUACACGGUUCUGUAGGGAGGGCUGUGACAGUGACGUGGUCAUCACUUCCAACUUAAAUGCUAAAAAUAUUGUUCUCAAUUUGUAACCUCCAUUGAGAGUAUUAUCAUGUUCUUAGUAAUUGCUUAUUGAUAUUUUUAUGGAAAAAGAGGUGUAGGCAAUCUUCUUCACAUUAUUCAUUACAGUAAGAUCGUUACACAUUUAGUUUACUUCUCGUUGAUCUGCCACUCAGCAUACUGUUGCGGCCCACGCCUCGGAGCAAAGACAGCCAUCUCAUCGCCGCGGUUGAACUUUACAUGCCUAGAGUCCUCCCUUGAAAGCCUAUAAGCAUUGGCGACCACGUCAACGGGUAGAGCACGAAGAAUGGAGGCCUUCCCUGCGAUCUGACUGUCGACAGCAUUGUGAUUGGUCUUGAAGGAUACCCAUGC